rnacentral:rRNA from 1 species
GUCGAGCGAGUUGAUUCUCUUCGGAGAUGAAGCUAGCGGCGGACGGUUGAGUAACACGUGGGCAACCUGCCUCAUAGAGGGGAAUAGCCUCCCGAAAGGGAGGUUAAUACCGCAUAAGAUUGUAGCUUCGCAUGAAGUAGCAAUUAAAGGAGCAAUCCGCUAUGAGAUGGGCCCGCGGCGCAUUAGCUAGUUGGUGAGGUAACGGCUCACCAAGGCGACGAUGCGUAGCCGACCUGAGAGGGUGAUCGGCCACAUUGGGACUGAGACACGGCCCAGACUCCUACGGGAGGCAGCAGUGGGGAAUAUUGCACAAUGGGGGAAACCCUGAUGCAGCAACGCCGCGUGAGUGAUGACGGCCUUCGGGUUGUAAAGCUCUGUCUUCAGGGACGAUAAUGACGGUACCUGAGGAGGAAGCCACGGCUAACUACGUGCCAGCAGCCGCGGUAAUACGUAGGUGGCGAGCGUUGUCCGGAUUUACUGGGCGUAAAGGGAGCGUAGGCGGACUUUUAAGUGAGAUGUGAAAUACCCGGGCUCAACUUGGGUGCUGCAUUUCAAACUGGAAGUCUAGAGUGCAGGAGAGGAGAAUGGAAUUCCUAGUGUAGCGGUGAAAUGCGUAGAGAUUAGGAAGAACACCAGUGGCGAAGGCGAUUCUCUGGACUGUAACUGACGCUGAGGCUCGAAAGCGUGGGGAGCAAACAGGAUUA